ensembl:lncRNA
CCUCCUCUCUCCGUUGGAAAGUUGCAGAAGUAAGAGUUCAACCUGUGGUGGGAAUGGCGCAAAGGGAUCCUGUAGGCAUCGUUCAUGCAGAUCACCACAUGAGGGUCAUGUUACACGCCGUCUCCAUGUCCAUUAGAGACCUGUGUGAAAUUGCACCAAAGGCCACUGGAACAUCAUCAAGGUGCAAAGAAUCUGUGAAGAUCGUUUUGAAUUCUGCUCUUGCCUUCUGGAGCCUUGGCUCUUCCUCCCCAUUUGGUCCCGUCUGCAAACCUGGUGAUCGUGCCUUCUAAACCGCCAUCCAAGUCAUGAAUCAAGAUCUUCUACUUGUUCGUUCUCUUUCCACUUCUUCUUCCUCUGCUUUCUCUUCUUUCUCCUCCUCCUUCUCAUCAAAGUUUUCUGCCUGCCGGAAAAUCCAUUUCUCCCCCCGGUUGGGAAGCGAAUAAUAGAAAACAUUGCAUCCAACCUUCUUUAUUGAUCGAAUUAGCACAUCUCGCUCAGUUUGUUUCCAAACAUUUCUAUUUCGGUAUUUAUUAAACAUUGGUGAGACAAAUACAGGCCAAGCCUCCCUUUCCCUGAAUGCCUAAGACUGGAAGCAUUUGGGAUUUCGGACUCUCGGGAUGUGGGAAUACUCGUGGUUUCUGUACACGGUGGACGGAAGUUGCUGUUCUGGAUUUGGGACUGUGGAUAAGGAAGGCUGUGUUCCGCUGCUUGUCUCACAUGGGCCCAUGUCCUUCUAGUCAAGAGGAUGGAAGAGUGGAUGAGAGCGAGGCGAGGAAGGGUUAAGCCACUCUCGAUGGUGGAGGAACCCCACUAUUCUCCUUGGCAACCGUCUCCGGGGGAAUAGCAUCCUUUCCACCCACCAGCCAUGGAGCAGAUGCUUCCGGCAAGGGCACCAGGGAGGGCUUGCAAAGCACCGCCAUUCAUCCCGGGCAACAAAAGGCUUAUAGAGAAGGUGGGAUGGGACAAUCGAAUGCAUUUAGGGACCCAAAUAGGAGAGGGGCUUGGCUAUCCCUGGAAUUUGGACCUCUCCAUCUGGCCAGAUGUGGGUUGGACUGGGCCAAGUUUAGAGGUUGAGAGGACGUGCUUCUUAUCAAGUUUGCAGGACAGAACAGAACAGACAGAAAGGAGUGGCACGUCUUAAGGAAUGUCAUUACCCAAAUGAAAAGCUCCCCCAGGGAAGGAAGGGCAGGGACGCGUUGUUCCGGAGACGCACACAAACACUCUCCGCCAAGGCACAGAAAUGUACAGGAGACGGAGCGGAGGGAGCAAGAGCGGAGAUGAAGGACCAGCGACGGUGGACCCCAGCCUUCCCACCCCAAAUCCUUCCAGUUGCCAAGAGUCGAAAGGUUGGGAUUUGCAAUGAACCUGGUUGCAAUUUGAUCAACCCCAAAGUUGAUAUGAUUUUCCUGAUGCUUGAGGGAUGCAUCAAGUGGUCUCCAAGCAGGAGGCAUCUCAACCGUUGACUUGCCCAAGCUCAGCCAAUGGGUGUAGGAGCCACAGUGACGCAAUGGGAUAAACACUUGUGAAGGUUGGGUUGCUGACCUGAAAGUUGCCGGUUCAAAUCCGCGAGAUGGGGUGAGCUCCCGCCUGUCAGCUCUAGCUUGUGGAGACCUGAGAGAAGCCUCACAGCAGGAUGGUAACACAUUCCGGGCAAUGUCCCUUGGGCAACAUCUUUGCAGACGGCCAAUUCUCUCACACCAGAAGUGACUCGUAGUAUGUUCUCAAGUCGAGUAAGCUCCCGCCUGUCAGCUCUAGCUUGUGGGGAUAUGAGAGGAGGCUCCCAGCAGGAUGGUAAUACAUUGGUAAUGUCCCCUGGGCAACAUCUUUGUAGACGGCCAAUUCUCUCACACCAGAAGCGACCUGCAGUAUAUAUACCUCACAACCUCUGAGGAUGCCUGCCAUAGAUGUGGGCGAAACGUCAGGAGAGAAUACUUCUGGAACAUGGCCAUACAGCCCAGAAAACACACAACCAUGACUUGACAUAUGUUCUCAAGUUGCUUCUGACAUGUUAAAAAAGCCAAUGGGUUUCCACAGCUGAGCAAGAACUCGAACCCAGGGCUCCAGAGUUGUCAUCCAAUGCUCCGACCAUACCAUCUCAAUAGGAUUUACCAAUGUGAGGAAUCCACCACCGAUCCAAAGGGUCAACUCCAGUUGGGAUCCAACCUUUUACCCCUCGCGAAGUGUCACAAGUGGUACAACAUAAUAUGCUCCUUUCCUCCAGACUGUCCUUUCUUCUCCUUCCUCCUCGCAGGCUUCCAGAACGUUCCGGUCGACUGGUUUGGAAAAUGGGAUGUUCGGUAACGGCUCAAUCGUUGGGUGCCACCACGCUUCUUUCUUUCUCUCUCCUCGGUGAGCCUCGCUUUGUGGAUUUAUGGGACCGUACAGCCCCAUAAUGCAUUUUUUAAUCACCCUGUCGACUUGCGGGGACAAAGAGUCGGACGCAGAGAUUACUUCCGACAGUAACAUCUUGUUCUGGAGAAGACCAGCGGGAACACUCAAGAGCAGGCGAAAACACGCGCAGAACGUUGCGCCUCCUGCUUCAAAGGUAGUCACCGCCGAGUCUCCCAACUGUCCGUAAUUUUUAGCUAGAACUACAAUCUUCUCUGUCUCCAUGGCCUUGGAAGUAGAGUUAAUUGUUUUCUUUAAGGAGCCAUCUAUUACUUAACUGAUGGCAGAAUUAUGAUGUUGCUGCAAA